CUCGGGUAAGCACUGAGGUUUCUUCCUCCAGAAACUCCAGCUACAACUGAAAGUGACAGAAACCGUUUUCAUGACAAAUCCUAGGGUGGCGACUGCUGUAUUAAAAGGCUCCUUCCUCACUUGUGAUGGGAGUCCUGCCGGAAGCCCAGAACACCAUGACGGCAGGAAGAACGGCCUGCAGGGUUACUUCCGAAACUGGAAGAGAGAUCAUUGAGGGAGGACUGCUUGGGCUCUAGCCACCAGACAGCCCACCCUAGCCACCUCCUUCGAAGGAUAGCUCCCACGGACUUGAGAGAUGCCGACUGGUUUAUCUGGGACCAGUUGACGCAGCCCAUCCCCCACUCCACUGAUCAACAGAGUGGCAGAAGGACAAUUCCACUCACAUGUGGUGCCGGGAAGAAUUACUUUAUGUAUAUGAGCAAGCCACCAUGUACGUGCUAGGACCUGAACCCAGAUCUUCUGCAAGAGCGACAAAUAUUCUUAACCACUGAGCCAUCCUUCCAGCUCCCUUGAAGGGUCUCUCACUGGCCUAGAACUCAGCAGAGAUCUGCUGUCACCACCUCCUCAACACUGAGAAUACAAGCAUGCACCCAUCUUGAGAUUCCCGGAGAAAUACCAGUUUCUUGGGGUGCGUUGCUUCUGGAGGUCACCAUGCUCGCGGGCAAGCACUUCCCUGAAGGAGCUCUUUCCUCAGCACCUGAUACGCACGUCUAAGGAUAACAUUUAACUUCGUGUUCAAACUGCCUAGAGCCACAAAGAGAACAGUGAAAUCCCACUCCCAGCUGUAAAUGCAAGCGGUGGUGAACAGGUUCUAAUCAGGUUUGUUUAAAUUAGGGGCUGGAGGUAUGCAAAGCUAAGAAUGCCAUUUAAGACAUGGCCCAGGCCUCUGGCUGGCUCCAGGCUCCCAACUUUUCCCUUUCCCCAGCAUGAGACUCCUGGGGCUAUCCCAGUUUUCUGGGGGUACCUUGAUUCAAUAGUCUGGUAGCCAAAGGGAGGACCCCAAGUGUCUCUUUAGAAUAUCUUCAUUUCUGCCAGAACAGACACAAGAGGGGAAUUGCUGUCUGCAAACCAACUCAUGUCCUACACAAAUGGUUAAUAGAAAAGGAAUAUAUAAAUAGAAACC